GGGGGCAGGAUGGUGCUCCUGGCUAAGUGCUGAAGCUGUGGUACCUGGACAGAGCAGUUGCUGGCUAGAGCUAGAGGAUCAAGGCUGGUGCUCCUGACUGAUGACUGGGACUCAAGGAUGACUUCAGCCCUGAGAUCAGUAAUAACGAAUCACAGCCAAACUUAAAAACUGCCCCAUUGACCAACAAAAGUAAGGGUGGCACAAGCCAGCACAAAAACAUAGGAAGCGAGCCAUGUGCGAAAGUGAAGAGAGUUCCUCCUUUGGGAUGACUGGAAGACAUCCCUCAGACAUAUGGCACAGAGAUAGCUUGAAGGGACUGGAGGAGAGUAUUGGAAAAUAGAAGGGAAGUCUGGAAAGUCCCGGCAUCACCACUGUAGCUGGAUGAAGAAUAAUUGAAUACAUGUUGAAGGAAUGAAAAACAGAAGUAACUAAAUAGCUUAAUUUAGCUAGGAACUUUAGGAAUCACCUAAAAUCUUUGCCUUUUAGUGCUACUGAAUGACCACAUUAAUUCAGAGCAGUGUGAGAAGUCUUAUGUAAAUGAAUGUUGAAAUGACAAGUGGU